UACGAGUUUUAUGCGCUGCUGCACUUAUGAUCGCUAUUAAUAGAUGGCGACACGAGCAAUCAACUACAUACCACCAAGCAUCACUAAACAUGAUUGCAACAAAUAAUUUUCGCUUUGGCUUUCUAGUGUUACAUAUCCCAAUAAUUUUUUUAAACUGAUUACCUGCUUCGGUUAACAGAGGUUCUACUGUAUAGUAUGCCUCAAAUACACUAUUAUCUUAAAUAUCCGUAUAUAAUCCGGGAUUCAGAUUCGAGCCCAUGGUAUAUGCUGUGAAUUCUGCUUAUUACCACAAAGUCGAGGUGGCAUAUAUUGUGGAAAAUGGAAAGAUUAAGCUAUAGACUUCCUAAAUUAAAAAAUGCAAUAAAAUGGUACCCUGUCAAAGCAACGUAAACCGUUCUAUGGUGACGUUCAUUACAAGAAUCGUUCAUUCGUGUUUAGUUUGAAUCUUCACAGUUUACCACUGAAGGCAGAAGACUCAACUUCCUUCGUUCUGGUGCUAAUUUAUCAUUGUUCUGGGGAGAAUCAAGAAUCGAAUAGUUCAGAAGCGAGUGGGAUGGUUUGGUUUGUUUGAUUACGAGUCUAAGGAGAAGGAUGAGUUUGUGAAAGACACUCUAAAGAAAAAAUGUCUCGUUUUCACGUUACACAUGGGGAAAACAUUGAAAACGCCCAUGCAGCCUGCCUAUUCUCCUGAAACCGGACCCACAGAUUCAAGCGAAAAUGCGAUUUCCUAAUAAUCCCAAAUUGCGCUCUUAAUGGAUUAAAGCUGUAAGAAGAAAAAAAUUUACGCCUACAAAGUAUUCGAAGCUAUGUUCAAAACAUUUUUCAGAAGAUGCAUUUGAAAAAGGAGGACCAAGAUACAGAAUUUAUUAAAAGUAUUUACAUGUAUAUAAAAUUACAAGGUUACUUUAGACGCAUUAAUAAAAUUUAAGAUUGCACAUAUAA